rnacentral:rRNA from 1 species
AAUGAACGCUGGCGGCGUGCUUAACACAUGCAAGUCGUGCGCGAACGUGGCUUCGGUCACUAGUAGAGCAGCGAACGGGUGAGUAACACGUGGAUAACCUGCCUGGAUGUGGGGGACAACUUGAGGAAACUCGAGCUAAUACCGCAUACGUCUCGACUCUCUAAGGAGUCGAAAGAAAGAUGGCCUCUUCUUGAAAGCUGUCGCAUUCAGAUGGAUCCGCGGCUGAUUAGCUAGUUGGUGAGGUAGAGGCUCACCAAGGCGACGAUCAGUAGCCGGCCUGAGAGGGCGAUCGGCCACACUGGAACUGAGACACGGUCCAG